rnacentral:rRNA from 1 species
CCUACGGGAGGCAGCAGUGGGGAAUAUUCCACAAUGGGGGAAACCCUGAUGCAGCAACGCCGCGUGAAGGAAGACGGUUUUCGGAUUGUAAACUUCUGUUCUUAGUGAAGAAUAAUGACGGUAGCUAAGGAGCAAGCCACGGCUAACUACGUGCCAGCAGCCACGGUAAUAAGUAGGUGGGAAGCGGUGUCCGGAAUUACUGGGUGAAAAGGGUGCGCAGGCGGGAAGCCAAGUCAGCUGUGAAAACAACGGGCUUAACUUGUAGUAUGCAGUUGAAACUGGUUUGCUUGAGUGAAGUAGAGGUUGGUGGAAUUCCGAGUGUAGCGGUGAAAUGCGUAGAUAUUUGGAGGAACACCAGUGGCGAAGGCGGCCAUCUGGGCUUUAACUGACGCUGAGGCUCGAAAGUGUGGGGAGCAAACAGGAUUAGAUACCCCUGUAGUC